GGAGAACUUCUGGAUGGCAACUUUAGCUGACAUUAUGCUGGAAGCAUGGUGCCCUAACCGAAGAGAAGUUUGGCACAGCGGAGACGCCGACCGUCCUUCAAAUGCUGACCCGGGCCGAAUCUCCCCGCGCUGGCAAGUAUCUGCCCGGCUCAAGCGUCCUUCAGCAAGUCCUAUCAGCUCCGUGGGUGCUGAGCUGCAGCUGACCCUGACCUCAGACCUUCCUAGAGUGCGGCUAAAGUGAAGGUCCCAGAGGAUUGCAUAAGUGGUGGUCUUCCUCAGCAGAGACGGGUUUCUAUACCACUUAGGUCUCAAGAUGACAGCUCUACUAUCUCCAUGUCCUCUCCACAAACUCCACCCACAGAGGAAGACGCCACCGGAUAAAAACAAACCCCCCUCUGUGUUACUGGUCUCCUGUGAAGAAGUGAAGAGAAGCCGGUGGGAAAAACACUCCGACGG